GGAAGGAUUUUAUUGUAAGAGAU
rnacentral:snRNA from 1 species